rnacentral:lncRNA from 1 species
UUCCUGUUUCUAUAUGUAUCUAAUUGUUUACAUCUGACUCAUGUAUACAUAAAUGUGUAUGACCAGAAACUAUGUUUUCAUACUAUUUGGCUUAUCAUGUAAUUUAAAUGAUAAAGAUAAUUGAAGCUGUCAAUGUUGUAUGUCAAAUCCCCUAAUUAAGAAACAUUAUACUACAUGAAACAACGCUCGAGCUGAGCGACAAACUUGAGGCUGUG